rnacentral:tRNA from 1 species
UGCAUAGGCCGGGAAUCGAACCCGGGCCGCCCGUGUGGCAGGCAAGAAUUCUACCACUGAACCACCGAUGG